rnacentral:lncRNA from 1 species
CCCGCACCCGCCGCCCCCCGGGCCCCCACUAGCGGCCGCCUCCGCUUCCCACCUCCGGCCCCCCGCCCCGAGCAGGGCCUGGGGGGCUCGGCCCUCCGCCCCGGGUAGCAAAGAAGGGGGGAUCCUGUCCCCCCAGUGGCGCAGCCAGUUCCCGGCCUCCGUGAUCUUGAGAGAGACCCCACCCCUCAGUUCUCUCCGGGCUCUGUCGGAGACCCCCUCUGCCCUCCCAUCCCGCUCACAUCCGCUCUCCAAGCUCUGUCACCCCCCAGAACCAGCUCCCUCCCUCCUUCCCUCUCCGGGGUUCCCCCUCCCCCAUCCCUCCGCCGCCCCCUCCCCC